rnacentral:rRNA from 1 species
CUUUGACGUUAGCGGCGGACGGGUGAGUAACACGUGGAUAACCUACCUAUAAGACUGGGAUAACUUCGGGAAACCGGAGCUAAUACCGGAUAAGAUUUUGAACCGCAUGGUUCAAUAGUGAAAGACGGCCUUGCUGUCACUUAUAGAUGGAUCCGCGCCGUAUUAGCUAGUUGGUAAGGUAACGGCUUACCAAGGCAACGAUACGUAGCCGACCUGAGAGGGUGAUCGGCCACACUGGAACUGAGACACGGUCCAGACUCCUACGGGAGGCAGCAGUAGGGAAUCUUCCGCAAUGGGCGAAAGCCUGACGGAGCAACGCCGCGUGAGUGAUGAAGGUCUUCGGAUCGUAAAACUCUGUUAUCAGGGAAGAACAAACGUGUAAGUAACUGUGCACGUCUUGACGGUACCUGAUCAGAAAGCCACGGCUAACUACGUGCCAGCAGCCGCGGUAAUACGUAGGUGGCAAGCGUUAUCCGGAAUUAUUGGGCGUAAAGCGCGCGUAGGCGGUUUUUUAAGUCUGAUGUGAAAGCCCACGGCUCAACCGUGGAGGGUCAUUGGAAACUGGAAAACUUGAGUGCAGAAGAGGAAAGUGGAAUUCCAUGUGUAGCGGUGAAAUGCGCAGAGAUAUGGAGGAACACCAGUGGCGAAAGCGACUUUCUGGUCUGUAACUGACGCUGAUGUGCGAAAGCGUGGGGAUCAAACAGGAUUAGAUACCCUGGUAGUCCACGCCGUAAACGAUGAGUGCUAAGUGUUAGGGGGUUUCC